GAUCCCUUAGCUCAGUGGUAGAGCGUGUGAUUCCAGCUUUGGUUUGUUCGUCCACAAGGUCAAGCGUUCAACUCGCUUAGGGAUCA